CGCCCCCUAUACGUCAUCAUUGAGUAAACUUUGACCCGGAACCUCACAGUCAGCAGACACUUCCUAGGAGUGAGGGUCUGCUGCUGAUUGGGUGGAAUGUGUCUGCUGGCUGUGAGGUUCCGGGUCAAAGUUUACUCAAUGAUGACGUAUAAGGGGCG
rnacentral:miRNA from 1 species